AGCACAGCUGUUGGAUUGCAUGCUUGAAGCGUCUUCCGGAGGGUUCGAGGUUCUGUUUGUUAUUCUGGUUGGCGUUGGAGAUGCAAUUACUAUGUUUCAGUUAUCCGUAAAAAGCUUUUCCUGAAACGCGUGAAAGCCUAACAAUGUGAAUAUCCGGAAGACAAGUAAAGCUCAUGUAUUUUUUGUGACCCUGGGACAUCGAACGUCAAAGCGACCAUGUGACACGGUGGCCGAGUAUUCCCAGAAAAUGUGUCUAGUCCUCGAGAUCGACGGUAUACAUGCGAAUACUGGAAAGACAACAACAGCUGACCAAGCCGAGGAAAACCACUUUCUGCGAGGAUUUGAGAUGACUCUGGUGGACACAUUGCAUCAGAACACUCCUACAAUCUGCAUCAGAACAAUCCCACACAUUCUGAACGCUGGUUUGUGACAAAUUGCCUACAGAGACCAUUUUGUUUGGCAGGAGUAUGAGAGGAGCCUGGCUGCAAAAACGAUGGAGAAAGGCUUGGGACUAGUAAGAACAACGAGAAAUCAGGAAACGGAACACAAAUUUCCAUAGGGAAAGUUUCCAAUGGGAAAACAGGACUGCCUUUUUAGAAAUUCUUUAUAUUUCAGAAAUUUUCCAGUGGAACAAACCGAAAAGUCAUGUUCAUUUACAUACCAACCAGAAUUUACAGAGAUCUUUUGUAAAUGGUAAAAAACCAACAUGUUAUUUAAUUUCUGGACACACGACCUCAGCAAGUCAAAAGUGGCACUCGAUACCAAAAUCAACAACCCUUGCAUCAGGGGAGGCAGCAAGAAUCAACAUUUCUUUGGAAACAACAAGACCACACAAGGACCUUUACUGUAUUCUUUUGGGCAAACUUUUUAUACUCCCUUCAUGCAACUGGUUCAUUUUUUCAAUCCAUGUUCCACAUACCUAGAAGAGAAUUGCUUUGGCUAAUUAGGUCAGCUGCAAACUUGUCAUGGUUUUUUUUUACCUCUUACAUAUUAACUGAAAUCUUGAGGCUGUAAAUCUGUUUUUAUGCUCUACCAUUCAGCUGGUCCCUUAUGGCAGAUUCAAAACUAUGCAUUUCUCAUCAAUGUACAGUGUCGGAAGAAGUCUUUUUUCAGUGUCAUUUAAGUUAUGAGAGAGUACAAAUAUAUCCUUUGCAGAUAAAGGAAAUCUUGGGUAAGACAGUUCUGUUGUGGAAUUGUUCAAGUGAGAUAUCAAGGAAAUGUCAGUGGUGGCUUUCAAAUUUGCCUGAUUAUUUUUAAGUUGGUAGCUACAGAAUGAUCAAGUCUGGCUUUGCCUCAAUCUGGUUUUGACAAAGGUUGGAGAGGAGUUUUCCCUAGUCAUUAGUGAUAAACCCAUCUGUGUGUUUAUAGCUUGAAGGCUUCUUCAGUUCCAUUUCUGCCUGAAGGUCAAGGCUAGGAUUUAUUCUAGGUUCAUAGAGCAGAGACUUGACUAUUUCCCAGUUCUUUGUCUCAUCAAGCUUUGUUUUUAAUAUAGUCACUUCCAUGAGUGGUUGAGGGGAGAUGUUAUCACCCAGGCCUUUUUUUACAUGUCACCUCUGAAGUGGAGAAGUGCAGACCAAAUCAGGUGACUUGUCCUCAUCUUGGUUCAUUUCAUCUGUUCUCUGGGUGUAAAACAAGCUUAACCUGCAGGCUAUAACCAUUCAUUAAAAGCGAGAGCACGGUUGCAAUAACCCACACUUGGAACAGUUUGCAUGCAUAACUUGGCCUGAAACAGUGCACAAUGAGAACCAAAACUGUGGUAAAACUUUGUCCUCAGUAAGAAGUAUUUUUUAUCACUGAUUGUUAAUAUCUUUCAGAUACCGGUCAUUUAAAAAUGUCUUUGCUUUCCUCAAGCUUGUUGGUAUGGAAUGGUGACCAGCAUUUCCAAUUCUUUUUCCUGAACUUUCAAUAGGAUGAUUCAUUUCUGCGCUUAUAAAUGGAGGCAUCCUUAUCAGUGAAUUUUUCCAGGCAUCGCUUGGAUAAUUUGGGGUUAAAGCUUGAAGCGAAUGUUCUGCUGAUAGUACUAAAAGCCUAGUCAUCCUUUUGGUGUAAAUAUUGUUUAGAUCUGGAUGGACUAUCAUUUUAUCUAGACCACACUUGUUAUAUUCAUGGCCUGUAAUAAAAACAAAGAACACAGUUUUAUCUUAAGCAAAAAUUUUCACUGACAAGUGUUUUAAUACUAGAGUAACAAUGCUUACCAUUUCAUAAGGUACACUUUUGUCUAGUGACAUUUGAGCGAAUCCCAGCAACAUCAUAACCAAAACUUCAAUUCUUCAUUUUUUGGAGAAAAUGAAGGAUUUCAGCCAAAGAGGCCCCAGGAAUGUCAUUCUUGGUAAGAAUUGUAUCACUUUCUCUCAGUGAAGAGCUGGAUGAUGCCAUGGUAUGAUUUCUUUUUUGUUCACGACACUGAGGCCUUCCCAGCCUCGUUUGUGAGGGCUCAAUCCAGGGCGCUCUGUGUGGCAGCCAUCUAUGAAUAUGGUAUAUAAAACUAAAUAUAUGCUGGAUGAUAGCACCCUUGGUAGCUCAGAUUUUCAUGUUAAGAUGUUUGAAAGUGCUCUUGGUCCAGGGACUUAUGCAGAAAUGUUGAUCAAAAAGGAUUCUAGUAAAGUAGAACUUAUUGUCUAACUGUAGUGUAUUAUUUAAAAAAAAUAUAGCCAGUACAGUAACUACACAGUUGAAGAAAAGUGAACUACUGUAGAAAACUGUUAUUGUUGCUAUAUUGUGUGACAUUGUGCAUCACAAUGACCUAUUUAUGUAUCAACACACCACAUCUGAGCACACAUAGUUAAAACAUCUCUACUUAAAACUUAGUGGAUAAACAACUGAGUAUGGAUACAACAAAUUGAUAAUUAUAUUACAAAGCCUCUAAUCAGGCAAGUAACAACUCUUUUACCUAAGUGUAGUUUUCUAUUGGUGUUCUUGAUGAUGAUGGUUCUUGAAACACAUCACUGUUAACUCCAAGCUGACAAGCAAAUACGGUAUUUAUCCUUGUAUAAUGCAUGCCCAUGUAUAAUACGCACCCUGAUUUUUGUCCAUAACUUGAAAAAAAAAAAAAUCACAAACAAAACCAAAGGUUUAUUUUUGCAAACUUAUAUUUAUUAAAUUAACUACAACUGGAAAAUAAGAAAUGAAUUUACAAUAACAUCUAGAAUUAUUCAUUAAGGUACAACAGUUCUUGAUCUAUUAAUUAAACUUUUUUACAAAAGACCUAAGCAUUAUGAAACCUGCAAGUGUAUUUGUACUGGUACUCACAGCACUAGCACAAACGUUUCAAGUUUUGCAUCUUUCAAAUGAUGAAACCUUUGAAAUCUGACUCAGAGUCUGAUUGAAAUAGUUCCCUGACGAAUGAAUCGUCAAGUUCUUUGGUGUCCUUAGGUGCAGUAUAAACCAUAUGGUCCUCUGUUCCAUCCAAAUUAUUCGUGAUGCCACAUUUCAAGAAAGAGGCAGUGACCAUUUCAGGUGGAAUUGCAUUCUAUGCUUCGGAAAUCCAAGAGCAGAUCAGCUCUUCCGCGGGGUUUUUUUGUCGUCCUGUUGCAGUAAACUCAUGUAUACCAUCCGCCAUCCACUGCAUCCACUUCUUCCUAACCCCAUCUUUGAAUGGCUUGUAUAAAGAUACAUCAAGCGGUUGAAGAAUUGAAGUUAAUCCAGCAGGAACUACGGCAAGGUCAGUGUUUUCAUGUUUGAAUGACGAUUUCACACUGUCGGUCACUUGGGCUUCGAAUGCGUCAUAAACAAGCCGUCUUCUCCUCCCCAGGAUCCGAGCACGCCAUACUUUCUCGAUCCAAAUUUUCAUUUGAUCUAAAUCCAUCCAUCCUUUCUCCUGGGCAGAGACAGCAACACUGUGCUUGUUAUUGAUCUUUGGUACAAUCUUUCGCUUAAAGAUGACCAUCAGCUUUACCUUGAAACCAUCUCCGCAGGAGGCCAACACAACUGUUACUCGAUUCUUCUCAUUCCCCAUGAUGCGGAUUUUCACAGUUCUUGCCUGUUUGGUUGAUUGUUCAGUCAUUUCAUCCAUGUUCACAGUGAGGUGCAGUGGGUAGUUGUGUUCCUUAUGGCGAUCAAUGAUGAACCGAUGAAAUCUGACGAUUUUUCCUCAUAAUUGUUGGGGAGCGGACUGUGUUUCCCUCAGAGGAGUCAGUUGGCAUAGACCUUUGUUGUAGCCAGAACAAUGUGUAUUUUCUGGGCAGUGGAUUGGCAAUCAUUAACCUUUUGCAAGUCCUCUACCAGUUGAAUUUUCCUGGCACAGGUAGGGUUGUCUCUAUACAUCCUCUUAAGGUUUCUUCAAAAUAUACAUAUGGUAAAGGAGUGGAUUUACAUAAGAAAGUUGUUUUUUGUUUCAGAUGUUGUUUCCUGUGCACUUCAGGUAUUGCAGUUGUGAAAGUCCAGCUAGGAAUGUUUAGAAACAUGCUGAAAUGAAUUUUUUUUCAUGUUUCCUUGCCUUUGAUGCCCAUCAAGUACAUACACUAAACAUGCUAGAUUGGGCAGUUCUUUGUUCUUCCUUAGUGUCGCUUUCUCAAUUGAAAAUUGCAAAUCAAAAUAUGAGUUUUGAAUUGCUAAAGAAAAUUAAGCACACAGAGAAAACAUAUCUAGCAGCAAUAUCUCGGGUUAGCCAAUAUGUGAUUGAAUACAAAGCGGUAGUCAUGUAUGGCUAUGCACGCUGAAUUUUGUAGUGAAGUAACUUUCUGAAUCCAUGAAAUUGGGCAUGAUAAUCUUACUGGCCACACAAAUGGUGUUCAAUCAUCAGUAAUAAAGAUUCAUGGAAAAGAAAGCAGACCUCUUAUUACAGAUUAAGUUUUGCUCCAUGAAGGACUUUUUAAAACUAUUUUCUCCACAUACAAAUUGUUUCUAAAACAUCUAAAACUGAUCAUUAUAAAUUCAUGGCUGCUCUAAUGUCUUCAAUGUUUAUUGUGUUUAUUGUGUAAUAGCACGAAAAUUUCAAAGUAAACAUGAAUUUAGUUCCUUUUUUAAACCCAUACUAUGACAUCCGCUUUUUUAGUAUAGUUCUUAUGCAGACCAUUAAAUAUGAUGUACAAACAGUGAAAUGAACUUAAAUCAAGAACACUAGAAUGUGCCUAUUUAAUUAACUAAACACUCAUACUGGCAAGCAAAACAAAAACAUGGAAUUGGAACUUGAAUAAUAAUGUUAGUUAGCCAUAACAAUAGACCUAGAAUUACAUGGUGCACACACCCAGAAAGACAUGAGGGAGAUCAAAAUGAGUUGGUGCGAGGCUGAAAGAGUGGUUGAAGCCUGCAGAAAUGGAAGGCAGUAGUGGAUGUCCUAUGCUCCCCUCAAUGAGAAAUAGGAUUAGAUGAUGAUGAUCAUGAUGAUGAUGAUGAUUAUGAUGACGAGCUAUAACAUGGGCUGUAUAAACAGUUCACCAACUCACUGCAAACAAUUAAGACCUACAAAAUCAGCCUGUCCAGUUCUGACAAAGCAGAAUUCUAGCUGGCAAAUAUAACAACAUCCCUUGAAUAGUCAUGCAAUCACAGUUUCACAAUAAUAACUAGAACUUGAAUGCUUGUGUUAUAGCCAGUAUAAUAAUUUACUGACUUGUGGCAAAUGAACUGAGUUAACUAAUGUUGAAUAAUCCCAUGAGUUUGAUCAGGAAAUUAACAUACUGAGGUUCUGUUUGCCCAUCCCACCCCGCUUUUUAUUGCCAACCCUAUUUUGGAGCUAAUAAGAGUAUCAAAAUGUGAACCCUUUGGUUAUUGCUCCCAAAAUGCCCGUUUUGAAGCACCUCAACUUGUGGUGUUGCAGCCAUUGUUACAUGCAACCACAAUGAUACCUUGGUCACACAAGGUAUCAUUUUAAAGCUUAGAAUAUGUGGCAAACUGACUUUGAUUUAUUGAUACAUUAAUUCUAGGUAACUUAUGCAAAUGUUCAUGUCAUGCAAGACAGGAACAAAGUACAUAAAUAUACAUUUUAAGAUAAACUGUUGACAAGGA